rnacentral:rRNA from 1 species
AUUGAACGCUGGCGGCAGGCUUAACACAUGCAAGUCGAGCGGGGAAGGGUAGCUUGCUACCUAACCUAGCGGCGGACGGGUGAGUAAUGCUUAGGAAUCUGCCUAUUAGUGGGGGACAACAUUCCGAAAGGAAUGCUAAUACCGCAUACGCCCUACGGGGGAAAGCAGGGGAUCUUCGGACCUUGCGCUAAUAGAUGAGCCUAAGUCGGAUUAGCUAGUUGGUGGGGUAAAGGCCUACCAAGGCGACGAUCUGUAGCGGGUCUGAGAGGAUGAUCCGCCACACUGGGACUGGGACACGGCCCUGACUCCUACGGGAGGCAGCAGUGGGGAAUAUUGGACAAUGGGGGGAACCCUGAUCCAGCCAUGCCGCGUGUGUGAAGAAGGCCUUUUGGUUGUAAAGCACUUUAAGCGAGGAGGAGGCUACCGAGAUUAAUACUCUUGGAUAGUGGACGUUACUCGCAGAAUAAGCACCGGCUAACUCUGUGCCAGCCGCCGCGGUAACAC